rnacentral:rRNA from 1 species
GAUGAACGCUGGCGGCGUGCCUAAUACAUGCAAGUCGAGCGAACGGGCGAGAAGCUUGCUUCUCUGAUGUUAGCGGCGGACGGGUGAGUAACACGUGGAUAACCUACCUAUAAGACUGGGAUAACUUCGGGAAACCGGAGCUAAUACCGGAUGAUAUUUUGAACCGCAUGGUUCAAAAGUGAAAGACGGUCUUGCUGUCACUUAUAGAUGGAUCCGCGCUGCAUUAGCUAGUUGGUAAGGUAACGGCUUACCAAGACAACGAUGCAUAGCCGACCUGAGAGGGUGAUCGGCCACACUGGAACUGAGACACGGUCCAGACUCCUACGGGAGGCAGCAGUAGGGAAUCUUCCGCAAUGGGCGAAAGCCUGACGGAGCAACGCCGCGUGAGUGAUGAAGGUCUUCGGAUCGUAAAACUCUGUUAUUAGGGAAGAACAUAUGUGUAAGUAACUAUGCACAUCUUGACGGUACCUAAUCAGAAAGCCACGGCUAACUACGUG